rnacentral:rRNA from 1 species
CAGCAGCCGCGGUAAUACGUAGGUCCCGAGCGUUGUCCGGAUUUAUUGGGCGUAAAGCGAGCGCAGGCGGUUAGAUAAGUCUGAAGUUAAAGGCUGUGGCUUAACCAUAGUACGCUUUGGAAACUGUUUGACUUGAGUGCAAGAGGGGGGAGUGGAAUUCCAUGUGUAGCGGUGAAAUGCGUAGAUAUAUGGAGGAACACCGGUGGCGAAAGCGGCUCUCUGGCUUGUAACUGACGCUGAGGCUCGAAAGCGUGGGGAGCAAACAGGAUUAGAUACCCGGGUAGUCCCUGUCUCUUAUAAA